rnacentral:rRNA from 1 species
UUACCCGCUGAACUUAAGCAUAUCAAUAAGCGGAGGAAAAGAAACCAACAGGGAUUGCCCCAGUAACGGCGAGUGAAGCGGCAACAGCUCAAAUUUGAAAUCUGGCUCUCGGGCCCGAGUUGUAAUUUGUAGAGGAUGCUUUUGGCGAGGUGGCUUCUGAGUUCCCUGGAACGGGACGCCAGAGAGGGUGAGAGCCCCGUAUAGUCGCACACCAAGCCUUUGUAAAGCUCCUUCGACGAGUCGAGUAGUUUGGGAAUGCUGCUCAAAAUGGGAGGUAUAUCUCUUCUAAAGCUAAAUAUAGGCCAGAGACCGAUAGCGCACAAGUAGAGUGAUCGAAAGAUGAAAAGCACUUUGAAAAGAGGGUUAAAUAGCACGUGAAAUUGUUGAAAGGGAAGCGCUUGUGACCAGACUUGUGCCGGGCUGAUCAUCCGCCGUUCUCGGUGGUGCACUCGACCCGGCUCAGGCCAGCGUCGGUUCUCGCAGGGGGACAAAAGCUUCGGGAACGUGGCACCUUCGGGUGUGUUAUAGCCCGCUGCUUAAUACCCUUGUGGGGACCGAGGUUCGCGCUCUGCAAGGACGCUGGCAUAAUGGUCAUCAGCGACCCGUCUUGAAACACGGACCAAGGAGUCGAGGUUUUGCGCGAGUGUUUGGGUGUAAAACCCGCACGCGUAAUGAAAGUGAACGUAGGUGAGAGCUUCGGCGCAUCAUCGACCGAUCCUGAUGUAUUCGGAUGGAUUUGAGUAAGAGCGUAUAGCCUCGGACCCGAAAGAUGGUGAACUAUGCCUGAAUAGGGUGAAGCCAGAGGAAACUCUGGUGGAGGCUCGCAGCGGUUCUGACGUGCAAAUCGAUCGUCAAAUUUGGGCAUGGGGGCGAAAGACUAAUCGAACCAUCUAGUAGCUGGUUACCGCCGAAGUUCCCCCUCAGGAUAA